UACGUAGGCAGCGAGCGUUGUUCGGAGUUACUGGGCGUAAAGAGUGCGUAGGCGGUUUUCUAAGUUUGGUGUGAAAUCUCCCGGCUUAACUGGGAGGGUGCGCCGAAGACUGGAAGGCUUGAGUAUGGGAGAGGUAAGCGGAAUUCCUGGUGUAGCGGUGAAAUGCGUAGAUAUCAGGAGGAACACCUGCGGUGUAGACGGCUUACUGGACCAUCACUGACGCUGAGGCACGAAAGCGUGGUAGCAAACA
rnacentral:rRNA from 1 species